rnacentral:rRNA from 1 species
UACAUGGGGUGCAAACGUUGCUCGGAAUCAUUGGGCGUAAAGCGCGCGUAGGCGGUUGCUUAAGUCGGAUGUGAAAGCCCUCGGCUUAACUGAGGAAGUGCAUCCGAAACUGAGCAGCUAGAGUACGAAAGAGGGUCGCGGAAUUCCGGGUGUAGCGGUGGAAUGCGUAGAGAUCCGGAAGAACACCGGUGGCGAAGGCGGUCUGCUGGGCAGUUGCUGACACUGAGGCGCGACAGCGUGGGGAGCAAACAGG